rnacentral:rRNA from 1 species
UACAGAGGGUGCAAGCGUUAAUCGGAAUUACUGGGCGUAAAGCGUGCGUAGACGGUUGCGUAAGUCAGAUGUGAAAGCCCCGGGCUCAACCUGGGAAUUGCAUUUGAGACUGCGUAGCUAGGGUGCGGAAGAGGGAAGCGGAAUUUCGGUGUAGCGGUGAAAUGCGUAGAUAUCGGAAGGAACACCAGUGGCGAAAGCGGCUUUCCUGGUCCCAGCACCGACGUUCAGGCACGAAAGCGUGGGAGCAAACAGG